rnacentral:rRNA from 1 species
ACGGAAGGCAGCAGUGGGGAAUAUUGCACAAUGGGGGAAACCCUGAUGCAGCAACGCCGCGUGAGUGAUGAAGGUCUUCGGAUUGUAAAGCUCUGUCUUUAGGGACGAUAAUGACGGUACCUAAGGAGGAAGCCACGGCUAACUACGUGCCAGCAGCCGCGGUAAUACGUAGGUGGCAAGCGUUAUCCGGAUUUACUGGGCGUAAAGGGAGCGUAGGCGGAUAUUUAAGUGGGAUGUGAAAUACCUGGGCUUAACUUGGGUGCUGCAUUCCAAACUGGGUAUCUAGAGUGCAGGAGAGGAGAAUGGAAUUCCUAGUGUAGCGGUGAAAUGCGUAGAGAUUAGGAAGAACACCAGUGGCGAAGGCGAUUCUCUGGACUGUAACUGACGCUGAGGCUCGAAAGCGUGGGGAGCAAACAGGAUUAGAUACCCUGGUA